rnacentral:lncRNA from 1 species
AGUCUCAUUUCGUUCUUUGUUUUAUUCAGUGACAGACACCAGUAUCCAUCUGGGAGGAAGGAGAUGACACAGAUGAGCAGGAGCUGUUCCCAAAGCCCCUCAGAACCCACCUCUCCACCUCCCACUGCCCUCUGUGGUCACUGAGGGGGGAAUCUAGCAAAAGGUGCCUCUUCUCGAACAGUUUCCUGGAAAAAAAAAAAGAGGUAUUCAGGUCAUAGCUGCAUCCUUGGGGUGAGGGGAAGGCAGAGAGAACUGUUUGGGGGGUUCCUUGGAGCCAUCAAUGCCCUAGGUCAGCCAGUCUCAACCUGCCCCUCUGGCACUUCCCCCAGGAUGAGCUGGUGAUGGUAGGGUAGGGCAAAAUGUGGGGAAGGAAGGAGGGCAAAAACAAAAGGCAGAGAAGAGACAAGGAAGGGAAGAGGAAGAAGCAGAGAGAACAGGAGGGGGGCAGAGAAAGUAAUAGGAAGACAGAAGAGGGAAAGAAAGGAAGGAAAGAAUGAGAGAGGGAAGGAAAGAGGGAGAGAGAAAGGAAGAGGGAGAGAAGGUAGACUAAAAACAGAGGGAAGGUGAGAAAGGAGAUGAAGAAAGGGAGGCAGGAAGGCUCAGCAGGCAGGAAUCAGGGUGAUCUUUCCUCAGAGGCACAGACCAUGGGCACCUCAUCCAUCUUCUGAAAGCUUCUCAUGUCCUUCUGGCAGCAUUUCACAGCUACCACCACGGAGCCCAGGACCAGAAUGGAUACGAGCAGGCAGACCACAAUGACCACACCAGGAUUACGCUGGUUCACUCCUGGUGGGAUUGGGGAGCUCUGGCAUGGCUCCCCAGAAUACCUUGCUCACAGACCUCUAGAGACCCAGCCUGGCCAAGUGAAGAAUGGGUUCAUUUUGGAAAAGAGGAAACUAUGGUCUAAAGAGGGGAUGUGACUUCCCCAAUAUCACUGAAUGAGUUAUUUGCUGAACUGGGAUUAGAACCCAGUUUUCCUAGCCCCUCAAAUUCAGAGCUUUCUCCAUUGGACUACAUGGUAUCACCCCCAAUUUCCCCCAACUCUCCUAAGUGAUUAUGAAUAUAUCUAUUAUCCAUUAAGAUCUAAAAUGUUUUUAAUAACUGCUUCCAAUAAUAAUAAUAAAAAUAGCUAACCUAUGUGCCA